rnacentral:rRNA from 1 species
GACGAACGCUGGCGGCGUGCCUAAUACAUGCAAGUAGAACGCAGUUGCGAACGGGUGAGUGACGAGUAGGUAACUGCCUGGUAGCGGGGGAUAACUAUCGGAAAGGAUAGCUAAUACAGCCUACUACGAGAUCGACCUGCGUUGUAUUAGCUAGUUGGUGGGGUAACGGCUCACCAAGGCAACGAUACCUAGCCGACCUGAGAGGGUGAUCGGCCACACUGGGACUGAGACACGGCCCAGACUCCUACGGGAGGCAGCAGUAGGGAAUCUUCGGCAAUGGACGGAAGUCUGACCGAGCAACGCCGCGUGAGUGAAGACGGUCUUCGGAUCGUAAAGCUCUGUUGUUAGAGAAGCGGUAUCGGACCAGAAAGCGACGGCUAACUACGUGCCAGCAGCCGCGGUAAUUC